AUUGAACGCUGGCGGCAUGCCUUACACGUGCAAGUCGAACGGUAACGGGCCUUCGGGUGCCGACGAGUGGCGAACGGGUGAGUAAUGUAUCGGAACGUGCCUUUCAGUGGGGGAUAACGUAGCGAAAGCUACGCUAAUACCGCAUAUUCUGUGAGCAGGAAAGCAGGGGAUCGCAAGACCUUGCGCUGAUUGAGCGGCCGAUAUCAGAUUAGCUAGUUGGUGAGGUAAAGGCUCACCAAGGCGACGAUCUGUAGCGGGUCUGAGAGGAUGAUCCGCCACACUGGAACUGAGACACGGUCCAGACUCCUACGGGAGGCAGCAGUGGGGAAUUUUGGACAAUGGGGGCAACCCUGAUCCAGCCAUGCCGCGUGAGUGAAGAAGGCCUUCGGGUUGUAAAGCUCUUUCGGCCGGGAAGAAAUCGUAUCAGCUAAUACCUGGUGCGGAUGACGGUACCGGCAUAAGAAGCACCGGCUAACUACGUGCCAGCCGCCGCUGUAACAC
rnacentral:rRNA from 1 species